rnacentral:misc_RNA from 1 species
GUUGGUGAACCAGCGGAGGGAUCAUUACUGAGUUUUACUCUAAAACCCGCGAACCUACCUCUAUAGCUUCGGCGGCCUGCCCCGGGGGGCGCUCUACGGCCGCCGACAGCCCAUCAGAACUCUUUUACAGGCUCUCUGAGUAAACCAUUAAAUGCUAAAAACCUUCAACAACGGAUCUCUUGGUUCUGGCAUCGAUGAAGAACGCAGCAUCUGACUGACUAAGAUUCG